rnacentral:lncRNA from 1 species
ACCCCUCGCCUAAAAUCAUUGAUGGUGCAGGGAGAACCAACCUCGGUCAUUACUUUCAAACAACACUCAACUCUUUCAGAAGAAAACCCAACUAAAUUGCCCCAAUUUCAUCCAUCAAAACUCCAACUCGAAAUUAGCCAAAUGUUCUGCAAUAUAUGCAAAGUUCCGUCUCUACUCUAUUUAUUUCUACGAUUAUAAGGUAAAGCUCGCAGUUUGUUUCUGAAUUUAUUUCAUAUUUCGUACACCUUCUUCUUUUGAUUUUUUCACUUCGUCUUUCUGUAACUCUAUUUGAAACGAGUAUUUAUUCUUUUUAUCUUAUCUGUUUGUUUCAAUAGUGUGCUGGAUUUAGGGGAAACUGUGUAAGGCUCAUUUAAUUAUUGAAUUUUUUUUCUCGUGAAACUAUAUAAUGUCGUUAUAAUUUCUGUCUUGAGUCAGACAAUAGCAUUAUACUUAGCUACUUUUUCUAUUAUUGCUGCAGUAGCUUAUGGAUUAUUUAUAUGCCUAAAGAAAUUGAUUUCAAGGUAGAGAUGUAUUUAGUUUGUAAUAUGCUUGAAGGUUUGUUGUAUCUCUUAAGUCGCAAUGCUAUCAUCUGUAGGGGCAAUUGAUUCGUCAUAUUUGCUUGAGGCUUGAGCAAAUAGAGGUCUAUAUUUAUGAGGUUAAAGAGGAAGCUUUUAGUUGGAGAUGUAUUCAGUUGGUUGUAUGGGGCGAGGAGUCUUGACGGUAGUAGGAUAGGGUUUGACAUUAGAUUCUAUUUUUUGGGCAUUCAUAAUACAUUCAUGUAUGCUUUGCACCAUAGUAUUUUCUAAUAUGUUCCAUUAUUGCUCUCUAUAUUUUAUUUUUAUAUGUCAAAUGAAAAUAGUUUUCUCAUUCAUUGUCCUUUGCUUAGUUUUGGGGGUAUUAUUGCAUCUCCAGUCACUUCUCCUCAAUAUAGUAAGCAAAGUGUGUGGUAUAUCACUUACACAUAUGUAGUCUCUCUGUUAGCUUGUUUGGUUUCUCAUGUAACCUAGAAUUUUUAAUAUCAUUAAGCAUAUCUUCCUUUUUCUAUAAUAUGGUUGGGAUUUAUAAUAGCACUUGAGGGCGGGGUGGGGGGGNNNNNNNNNNNNNNNNNNNNNNNNNNNNNNNNNNNNNNNNNNNNNNNNNNNNNNNNNNNNNNNNNNNNNNNNNNNNNNNNNNNNNNNNNNNNNNNNNNNNNNNNNNNNNNNNNNNNNNNNNNNNNNNNNNNNNNNNNNNNNNNNNNNNNNNNNNNNNNNNNNNNNNNNNNNNNNNNNNNNNNNNNNNNNGGGGGGGGGGUAUUCUUUUGUUAUUUAUGGAGAUCAUCCAAAAAACUAAAAGAAAAUAUUAACUUUAGAGGUCAUAAUAUAUCUGCAUGUUGUUUAAUUCUAUCAACUCUUCAAUGAUGUUUUUUCCUCUUUUUUUUUUUAAAAUCUCUUUUCACUUUCAUUUGCCUAAUUACAAGAAAAAAUUCUUAGGAGAUUAACUGAGCAUGUACUUAUAAGUUCACUCUUCCUCCCCCAACAUCAAACCCUUCUCUCACUCUCAAUUAAGGUGGUGUACAGGCCAGGGUAACCGUCUAUUCUACCCUACUUUUAUAUGUAUCAAGUAAUUCUGCCCACUAUUCUAUUACUUACAAGUGACGUUGUUUUGCUAUAGGUGAUGGAAUAGAUAGAGCAUCAUUCAGGUUUGGACCGACUUAUUGUGGUUGAUAAGGCCAAGCAACAUUUAUCUCGUUACCUCUCUUUUUGCUAUAGGUGGUGAAUAGAUGGAAUGUCAUUCAGGCUUACAAACUUUCGUGGGUAGACCGCAAAGGUAAAUGCCAGGCAACAACUUCUCGCUACAUGUUCUUGGGGGCAAUGGCUCGAGGUAUGUUCAGCCUUUUAUUUGUCAGUAUAUAGAUUUUCCAUCUGUAAUCUGUUUUGAUUGCUGCAAAUGAGAUUCUUUCGCUAAUGCUCAACCAUUAAAGAUGUUGUCGCUCUCAAAUGAUUGGGCCCUCUCCGUUUCUCUCAUUUUUCUUGCAUUGUUCCACCACACAUAUUGAAAGAAGAACCUGAGACCGAUGUUCCACCACAGCUGCUUGGAUCACCUUCGGAAAGGUAAUUUCCCUUUGUCUUUGUAGCUCCAUAUGGGCAUAAGGUUCAACCCUUCCAGGAAUAUGAAGAGCUUGUCUUUGUCCCACAUGUCGUGUAUGCUUAGCAUGAGCAUGAGCAUGUAUAAUUCCCGCACAUAGUCCCGCACUGAUUUGGUCUGGCGGAGCUCCCAUAGAUUUCUCCUUGCAUUGUAUUCAACAUUUCCGGGGAAAAACUGUAGGUGUAUGGCUGCCUUCAGUUCUGCCCAUGUCUCGAGAGCAUCUUCACCGGCCCUGAUGGCUUCAUAUUUCACCCGCCACUAGAGUUUAGCAUCACCCUUAAGAUACAAGGAAGCAGUUGUUACCUUCUUAGCUUCUUCUAGGCCCCCAAUAGCAUCGAAAUACUAUUCAACGUUAAAGAUGAAGUUCUCCACUUCCUUGGCAUUCCUAGCUCCACUGUAUGGAUUUGGCUCAAGAAUUUUUAGUUUUUUGUCGCGGAAGCGAGGUUUGCAACGCCCCCGAUUUUGUGUCCACCGCCUCAAAGUAGGCUCUAUAAAGUAGCAUUGACAACGUUGAGCUUGCCUGUCAAGUCAUCAAUGGUUUGUUGCAUGGCAUUCACCCUGUCUGCCACUUGUGCCCUGUAAGCUAAAUCCUCGGCACGCUUCUGUUGGAGUCCCUCAAAUUUGCCAAAAAAUUUGGAUGCCUCUAUGGCUACCGUUUGCCGGUCUCCCUUGGAGUCAUGAGUGAUGUUUUCUAUGUCAACUUUGCCCUGGAUCACCCUAUGGUCCAGGUCGUCCAACCUUUGCCCUAGGCUGGUUCUUAGUUCAGGAACUAUAUCCACAAUGGGCCGUAAUCCAUCAAGCAUUUGUUCAAGGACCGCAAUACGGUCCCUAUGAUUCACCAUGGUCAGAAAUGGUGGUAAUAGCAAUGCGUUCCCUCGUCCGAUGUCGAGCCUAGGAUCUGAUACCAACUGUUACGCGGCACCGUCCUGAGAUUCCUUGGAAGCGCGACGUAUGCUAAGCAACUGAUGUCAGUGCAGUUACCGUCUGCCAACUGAGGUCCCCCUGUAUGCUAGACUAGAUUGUCAAUGCCGUACAGGAAAACCAAUGUCAAGAGCAAUUGAGAGAACAAAAAUGAGAAUUGAGAAUGAAAGAAAGCUUGAUUGCAUUAUUGAAAGCUAUUACGGAAAAGCAACACGGUGCCGAGGGGGAGCACACCAGUAUAGAGAAUUGUUUGCUUGCUAGAAAGUUUGAUUGCAUGAUCCCCCUAAUAGUGCUUAAAAAAUAAUCCAAAGCUACAAGACUAGCCUUGACUAUGCUAGAGAAACAUAAUGGAAGUACAUGAAAUAAAACUACUCUAUAUUUGCAAUGAAAAGGAUUUAGUUUUAUAUAAAGCAGAAACAGGUCUAUUGUCAGCAGCAAUGUGUUUGGCAUCAUGGUCGGCGCGUACUACGCUAUUGGCAUCUGCCUGCGGCUGGGCGCUGGUGAGGGUUAUCUGUGGGGCGACAGAGGCAUCUACGUGCUUGUCACCUAGCGUAGCCAAGAUCACAGGGCCGUCAGUGGCGCUAGGCAUUGGGAGGCUUACUAGGACGCCACGGGGGCGAGAGAGGCACCAAUGUUUUAUUUUAGUAGCAAACACCAUGAUUUUAGUUUUCUAGAUUUUCUUUCUUCCUCCCCAGAUUUCUGUUCUUCCUCUUCUUGUUUCUACGUGUAUCUAUGAGUGUGUAUAUUUUGAUGCAUGGGAAUAUUUUGGGGGNNNNNNNNNNNNNNNNNNNNNNNNNNNNNNNNNNNNNNNNNNNNNNNNNNNNNNNNNNNNNNNNNNNNNNNNNNGGGGGGGGUGGUGGGUGGGUGGGGAGGAAGUGUGCUGCAACUUGGUUGAAACAACGAUGGGUUUGGAAAAUGGGAGUUUUAUUUGUGGAAAAGUUAGGGACGAUAGAGAGGUCUUCUAGGCUAGGGAUCAGGUUUUUUCUAUAAUAUAAAGGGGGUUUUUCUUAUAGGAUUAGCUGGGAUGGGGUUAAUGGGUUAAGAGAUCCGAAAAUAGGCCUAAAAAAUAGAUUGUUUAAGCCCAAAUUCCAUUCUUUCUCACUGAACAAGACUAAAAAUACUCCCAUAUAUAUUAAUUAAUCCUACUUAAGUAUAAUAACUACUAAAAUAAAACUAAGCGUUAAAUUAAUUCUAUUUUGGUAUUUUUCAAAUAUCAUACUAAAAAAAUAAAAAAAGGAUUAGAUUAGAUCAUUGAAAAAUUAAAAUAAUAUUCCUACCAAAAAUACUAAUAUUCUUGAAAAUAAAGUGGAACUAUUUUUAUAGGUUCGAAUAUAUGUAAGGUUGAUAAACUAAGACUAAAUAGAUUAAAUAUCAAUUAACUAAAUAAAAGAAAAUAUUUUCGUGAUUUUUAUUUUUGAAAUAAAAUAAAGUAAAAGAGUCAAAACUAGUUAAAAUAUCGUUAUUAGACCUAACUCUAUAUUUAAAUGCUAAAAUGUGUAAAAUUUCAAGAGGGUAAAAAAUUAUAUGUCUAUAGAGGGCUUCCCUUCGAACUUGCCAACUUGCAUGCUCCACCAUACUUUUAGCCUGUGCCUGAAUCGCCUUGGCGUCAACCUUGAACUGGGUCACUCUAGCAUCAGCCUCGAUCUUGGCCACAAACACCUUUGAUUUGGUUGCCUCGAGUUCCUUGACCAGAUUCUCUUGACCAGAAAUAGCUAAGUUUAGUUGAGAUUGGAUCUCCUCGAUCUUAUUUUCCUGCACCAAGGUUUUCUCUUUUGUAGCCCGUAGCUGGGACUUGGCCAACAGCCAGUUGUGCUUGGACAACUUCCUUUUUCGAGGCUAAGAUAUCCACAUUUUUCUUGAACUCCUCAGCCUCAGCUUGUAUCGUGUUUACCUGCGCUUAGAGCUACCCGAUUUGUACAAGCCUCUAUCAGACAUGCAUGAUAGAUUCGUUAGCCACUGUGGCCAAUUUGUCGUCACAAUCUUGAAAUACUCGAUUUACUUGCUCUUCCAUCUCGGCAUGCUCCCUCCGAGCUGCAUCUAACUUGGCCUGAAGCUUCUUAUCGAGAAACUUGCAGGUGUCCCUUUUCUUAGUAAACUACCAAACCUCAGCCUUGUGUUAUGUUAACUCCAACCGGUAUCAGCGGAAAGAUGCAGUACCGAGGCCUGAAAGCAUAAAGGAAGGUGUUGUGUUUAUUUACAACUUCAAAUUUAAAAUACAAAAUAAAAAAGACACUCGGAGUUACCCGAUUCAGCACAUGUUGAGCUACAUUGAAUACGUAGGGCAUUUCCACCUUUUCCAUCAUGGCCUAGUCCUCUUCGGUCACAAAACACCGAAGAUAGCUGGCAACCCCUACGGAGGCAGAGAAAACCCGACCGUUUUCUAGGAUAGAGAAAACUGUUGAUCUCUUUUGGUCAGGGUCAACACUCGGGAUCGGGAACUGGUCCAAUAACUUUGGGCUCGAGGAAGACCCACUGGCUCCUAGUGAUGGUACCUUCUUUAGCACCGGUAAGUCUUCGAGCCCAGUGACAUCUUCUGAGGCACAAGACUCUAACCCAUCUAAGAAGUUAUGGAUAUAUGUAGCCCUAUGAGGCCCCUUGUAAGAACGACCUUCUAGCAUAGCGGUCUCAUGGAUCAAGGCAUCUGAGAAAUGUUGAGGCCUAAUAAUGUGAAUCACCUCAAGCACAUAUUUCAAGGCAUUUUCCCUUGCUCGAGAAGCAUCAUCCUCGAUUUCCUUUUCGACUCAUCUAGCUCGAGGCGAACUGGCAUCACCCCCCUCGGGUUCAGGAGCUUCGACUAAAGUGCUUCUACCGACCUCCUCAAGUCGAGGCGAUUCAAUUUCAACAACCUCCGAUUCGGAGGCCUCUCGUAUCAAGACACCUGCCCGCACGCAGGCCACCAACUUGGAUUUAUCUUCUGUUUCUUCGGACUCAUUCCUUAGCCGGUGGAUUGAGUUCGAGGAUAGAGCACUGGUGCUUCCCUUGGGUUUACUCACUCCUUUUCAGAUUUUUCUUUUUCGAGUUUGGAGAACUCGAGGCCCUUUUUCAUUUCUUCUCGUCACCCUGCCUCGAGCGAGGGACUCGAGAGACAUAUCCCCAUCACUGGAUGGAGGCCUCAAAGCAACAUCUUUGGUGAGACCUAUAAAAGGAAACAGAAUCGAUAAGAAUUUGAUAGCGUAAGAAGAAUAUCAAACAUUAUUUCAGUAAAGAAAACUUACCUUGAUUACGGGCUUCCCACCGGAACUUCGACAAUUUGCGCCAUGUGCGUGGAAUAUGGUAUUUGUGACACAAGAUUCUCGACCCACUCCUUGAGUCGAGGAACUGCAUCCGGCAUUUAAGCCACAACAACACCUUAAAAUACCGAUAUGAUGGAGGGAAUAGGAUAAAUAAUAUAUAUAAUCUUUAAGGCAACGUUAUACUUACACUUCAUGUUUCAUUUCUCAUGAAAUGGUAUGUCAUCGGUAGGGAUCAAGUCCGAGGUCUUCACUCCCUUUUACUUUACUUCUCGUCACCCUGCCUCAGAGUAGGGGACUCGAGAGGCACAUCUCCAUCACCGGAUGGAGGCCUCAUAGCAACAUCUUUGGUGAGACCUAUAAAAGGAAACAUAAUUGAUAAGAAUUUGACAACGCAAGGAGAAAAUCAAACAUUAUUUCAGUAAAGGGACCCAACGUGAAGGGGAAAGUGUAAACACUUAAAAAACCCUUCACGUGGAUAGUAAAUGAUUCCUCAGGCAAGGGCACCACCACGUGUUUAUCGGCACAACUACAAUCCUCUUUGACCUUGGAGAGGAGAUCAUUGAUGAUCGUACAUAUAUAUAUCUCGAGACCGCCUCGCAUAGACUUGGUAUCACGAAAGUUUUUUCGAUCUUCAAAUAAGUAUGGAUCGGGCACCCUCUUAGAACGAACUCUUCAGGGUGUGGCUCCACUGCAAUCCCAUUGCCGAUAGGUCGUGAUGAAGAGGCUGUUUCUUUAUAUGGAAUAGUCUUAGAAGUUUUCGUCAUUUUAAAGCAGAGAUGAAGAAAAGGAAAUUAAGAAGGUACGCUUAGUAGUUGAAAAAAGGUCCAAGAAAUCUAGGUACAGAAGUUGGUGAAUGAAGAGAUUCUUAAAGGACAAGAGUAGAAGAAGCUUUUGAACAUAAAGUUUGAAUGAAUGAAACUUGGGACAUUUAUAGUUUGCUAAUGACGGUUCAAAACCAGUAGUGACUGACCAACACUGACACACAUUUAAUGCCUUGGAGACUGAACCGACGGGACAUUCCAGUUACCUUUUGUUGCUUACAUCAUGAUCUGUCAAAGCGAGGUUCGAAAGUUCUUAUCAUUUCUCGGCAUCUCCUCUCCAAAAAUCAAGAGGAUUAUCUGUCACACCCUUUUUUUAGCAACCUCACUAAACAUCUUAAAAUAAAUAAAGAUUUUUAAAGCUCAAAAAGGGUUUUUAAUUAAAAGUGACAAAAUUGUGCUCAAAAGGGUUUUUAGAGUCGCCACCUGACAUUGGUUUCAAUGUGCCAGGUCAUCAUUUUUCAAAAAAUGAUUUUCCUUUUAAAACACUUUGAACUCCAAAACUAAGUCUACACCAGAGAUUUCGGUAAGGGGAUUUAUUCGACUCGGGGAGAAGGUGUUAGGCACUCCUCAAGUCACGUAAAAGUCACAGUUGCGUACUCGAUCUUGUUGGGCUUUAAAAUAUUCAAAUUGAGGUAAAAGUAAACACAAAAAAGAAAAAUAAGCAAGAGGCUCGAGGUCGUCCUCAACUAAUAAAAGAAAAAAAGAAAAAAAUAAGAAUACCGUUCUAUACUUCCUCAAAGUGUUCCAUUGUUGGCCUUCAAAUACAAAUUACUUCGGGGCAUGCCCCGAAUAAAAAUGUAUACAAACUUCGCAGGGCAUUCCCCGAAUAAUAAACUAAAAGAAAUGACCUCUUGCCUCAAUUAAACUAGAACCAAACGCCCUAAAUGUUUUCCUAUCUAAGUGAAUCGGCCUAAGCAUGUUCCUAGUGGUAUGUAAGAAAAGUAAAGCAACUGAAUUAUUUUUAAAACCAGUUUUUGUUAGUUAUCUUAUAAUAUCCAAUUUUGACCCCAAAUUCACUAUUCUCAAAAUCUCAAUUCUCGUUUUCCAAUUUAAACUAUAUUAAACAUGGUCCAUUAAUUCAAUGGCUCACAUUUUAAUUAGUAGGCUUUCAACAAAAUUUCAAUCACGAAAUCAUGGAUCCAAACACUGGAAAACAUGGAUUAAGCUCGGAAUUAUCCAUAAAUCGAAUACAAACUAUAACAAACAAGCAAGAACAAUCACUUUCUGGAUAAGCUUUCCAAUUUAAACUAUAGUAAACAUGGUCCAUUAAUUCAAAAGCUCACGUUUUAAUUAGCAGACUUUCAACAAAAUUUCAAACACGAAAUGAUCUAUCCGAAUACUGGAAAACAUGGAUUAAGCUCGAAAAUAUCCAUAAAUCAAAUACAAACUAUAACAAACAAGCAAGAACAAUCACUUUCUGGAUAAGCAAAUUUCACAGAAUCAAUCAGUUGUCCAUACAAUUUAACCACAGAAAUCUAAUCGCCUUUGAAUGAUUCUUUAAAACUCAAUCCAUAGUAAGGAAAGAAAUAGGAGAAAAGAGAUGAAUAGAAUCUGUUGAUUUAAGAUUUCCUUCAACGUUUGAGAGUCAAUAGAUACAAAUGCCAAGUCCAAAUUUCAGACAGAAUCGAGCAAGAAUGGCGAACCUAGACGGGGAUCGCGAGUUCAGCAAAUAGCGAACGGACCUCGACUAGCGAACUCAGCUUUGAACUCUAACACUUCACAUAAUAUCCAUUACUUUGAAACUAAAAUCGAUUGAGGAAAGAAACUGAAAAUACCUUUGUAAUUUUUUUUGCUUCAGAACUACUUUUGCAACCUCUUGUUGCUGCUCAUUCACACUAAUGCUGCUUCUUUAGGGUGGGAUGGUUGUUUUUUGGUAAAGAAGGCCGCCUGCGUGAAGCGAUAGGUGUGGUGGGCGGCAGUUAUGGAGAUUGGGAGGUUAUUUAGUGUGAGGGUUAGAAGCUUGACGGUCGCGGCGACGAUUUUUGUGGGCGGCUGAAGAUUGAAGAUGAAGAAGCAGGGGUCGUUCGUUUGGUGGGGUGUUUUCCGCUCGGCGUUGCUGUUCUAGUAGCUGGUAGAGGGCCGUCAGGGUCUCUAGGUUAGAGGUGGGGCAGUUGAAGUUUUUUGGAGUAAGGGAGGUGGGUCGCUGUUGCUUGGCGGUGGUACAUCAGAGGAAAUGGAGGAGUGUGGUGGUGUGUUGUUGGUGGUUGCUGGAUUUCCUGGCUAAACUCGCCGUAGGAGGGUGUCAGCAGAUUUUUGGAGAAGAAGAUGGGUCAGGUCAAUUAGGGUUCAGCUAGGGUUUGUAGUGAAAUGCAGAUUAAAAGGGAAGAUGGGUCUUGGAUCUUGGGCUUCAUAUUUGGGUCUUAAAUUGGACUAAAGGAAAAAUGUCCAAACCUUAUUUAAGUUCCUUUUAAUAUAAGAUAAAUAUACAAAAAUUAAUCUAAUUAAUUAAACUAAAUUAUAUAAAAAAAAUGAAAUUAUUUUUGUUAUUUUCAGAGGUUAUAUUAAAAUAAAAUAGGUUAAAAGUAAUAUAUCCUUCAAAAAAAUCUAAUAUGUGAAUUAAAUAGAGAAAUAUGAAGCUAUUUUUGUAAUUUUCAAUUUUUAUUCUUAAAAUAAAGUUAAAGAGUGAGAACUAGUUAAAAUAACGAUACUAGACAUAGACUAAAUAUUUAAAAAAAUUACAGGUCUACAGCUGCCCUUCUUUGACUGGAAACACGAAGAGUCUUUCGUCAAAAAAUGACAAGACAAGUUUUUUGACCCUACCCUUAUUUAGAAAGACAAAAUAAAGCGGAAUGUGACCGAGCCCUAGUAUCUGAGCUGCCUACAUAUCCUUGUCUAUGAAGGAGUCGAGCCACGUGUAGUUUGGAACUGAAUGAGAUGAUGGAGUAUAUUGAGGUGGAGAGUCGGUCGAGGUGUCGUUCUGGUGAGGUUCCGGUGCGCGGUCCUGUUAUUACAUCAAAAUCAAAAAAUGAAAAAGAUUAACUAAGUCUGUCAACUAUGAGUUACAAGAUUUAUAUCUAUGAGUCUUUUGAAGCUGGAUCUUGAGUCUUGAAUGGUUCUUUAUGCAGACUUUAGAAUUAAACCUUAAUGCUUGCUAGUUGCAGGUGCUAGUUCAUUCUUCUUCAGCUUUUCGGAUCAAAAUCGGACACACCAUGCUUGUGACUUUAGUCAUGUCUUGAGAAGUCCACCUCUUGUCUCAGCUUUGCAUUUGCCAAUCCCUAUCUCGAAGAUACAAGCGAAGCGACCAACCCUCUUCUCUUGUCUUGCCUCGAAGUGUAGUGUGGUGAGGUUUUGCCUCACAGAAGGAGUGGAAAAUUGUGGAAAAAGCCGAAAGCGUGUACCUCUCUUGAUUGAACGUAUGACCUAGCAGGAGAGGCGCGAGCCCUUACUAUACUUUAUCCCGUAGGGCAUGGUAUGGAAUAGACCUCACCGUGGUUGGUCAGCAUCUGUGGAUCGUCUUCUCUCAGUUCGAUGGCUUCAUUACAAAAAGUAGCUAAGUAGCUCCGACAGUUUUCUUUCCCUUCAAUCCCUCCUUACUAAGCACAAUCAACAGUUCAAUUCACGAUUUCUAACCUUAUACAGAAGGUUUUUCCGUACCAGCUCCUUCUAUCUAUACUGCAGUUGGAGCACCUAAAGGAGAAUUUGGUGUCUUUCUGGUCAGUAAUGGAAGCAAUCGUCCCUACUGUCGUAAAAGAAGAGAACUUGGCUUUGCCCAUUCACAAGGACUCGAUUCUAUGUCCAAACAUCACAUGCCAGUAGAUGUGGUCACCUUAUAGGCACUCAAGAUCUUGUGUCUAGAGAGGUGGAUAGAUAGGAAUACUAUCACUCCUUCUACUCUAAACUACUGUGUGCUUAUUUUUCGCUUUUCACAGUCAAAGUCAAAGGUUCGUUAUUGGCAAGAUCGGUAUUCCUUCUAGUUGUAAUUGACUUUAAGCGCACCUGAACUACCCAUAGUCAUCUAUUUAUGAGCUUGCACUCAAUAGUCAAUCAAUUUGCUUUUCCGCUUUCUAUCGCACACUUCAACUAUUUGUUUAUAUUGUGUGUGAUUCACUUCCCUUUUUUUUUUCUUUUUUAUUAUGUAUUGAGAUUACUUCUGUUGAUCAUCUCGGACUGUUAACUUGCAUUCUUACCACGAGCUUCUGCUACUUCUAACUUGAAUUGGAUUCUGAAAUGACUUUAUUUGUUCUCCAGGUAGGCGGCUGAUUGCUAAAACUUGAACUUUAUUCCCUCGUUCUCCAUGUGGGUGCCUGAUUGCUAAAAGUUGAACUGUAUUCCCUUGUUUUUCAGGUGGACGCCUGAUUACCAAAACAUAAAUUAUAUUCCCUUGAUAUCUAGGUGGGUGCCUGAUGCAGAAACUUGAAAUGUAUUCUCUUGUAAUUCAGGUAGGCGCCUGAUUGCCAAAAAUUGAACUGGGUUCCCUUGUUCUCCAGGUGGGCACUUGAUUAUCAAAACUUGAACUGUAUUCUCUUGUUUUCUAGGUGGGAACCUGAUGUCAAAACUUGAACUGUACUCCCUUAUUUUUCAGGUGGACGCCCGAUGCUUCAACUUCAAAUGUAUUUUCUUGUUCUCUAGGUGGGUGCCCGUGAUCACAACAACAAAACAAACAAAAUUUUCUGCCCCAGUUUGCACUAGGAAGAUUUGUGAGUUGUUAGCAAAACUGUAAAUCACAUAUGCUAUUGAUGCAAUAAUGAGAGUAAAACUAAAGACUUGACUAGGAUGUAUGUAGGAUGUAUGUCUCCUAUGAGUAAAUCAAGAAUAUUUUACUAGCAAGUGCAUUUGCUAAGAAUAAAACCUAAAAAACUAAAAAUUGACCUUUUUUUUUUCAAAUCCAGUCUUCCUACUUCUUUUAUUUCCUUUUAAAAAAAAAUAUUAUCCUAGGAGAAAAUUCAUCAGACUAGGUAUUAUUAGGAGAAAGAUUUAUCAGACUAAAAUUUCGAUCGUAG